rnacentral:tRNA from 3 species
GACGCUACGGACUUAAAAUCCGUCGACUUUAAAAAUCGUGAGGGUUCAAGUCCCUCUAUCCCCA